CCCGCCGCGGCCAAGCACGCAUGCGCGGAACGGCCGGGCGGGGUGGGGGAGGUGCCUCGCUACCUUCAGCCGGGCUGUCGCGCCCCAACAGUUGAAAUCUAACAGUCGGCCACCAGGUGCGUGCUGGCAGCAGAAGGGUUGUGUGUGUGUAUGUGGGAUUAGUGGGUGUUUUCCGUAAUGCAAGUGCUGAGCUGCUUCCAGGCAGAGAGUUCUCUUGCGGCCUGGAAACGAUGAAAACGUCAAGAGUCAGUGACAGUGCUCUAAUGCUAACUUGGAAAAUCCAUUACUAGAGGUGAGAAGUACAAGACACCUCUUCAGUCUCUGUGUUCUCUACCAGAAUACCAAGCAAAGCUUCCUGCUGCAGUCACUGGGAUAUUAUUUUUGUGAUCUUCACAGCAGUUCUCCAAAAGCAAGAUUAGCUGUCGUGUAAUAACAACAGUGACGCACAAUGUGAUAACAGGCAGCCUCCAGGUGAAGAAUCUUUGUAUCACUACAGUCUCCCCCACUAAUCAGUUCUCUACAGUACAAGAUGUAAAGGAAGCUGAGGAGGAAUAUGUAAAACAGCAUGCAGAUAGCUACGCAGUGGAAAAAAUACCAGUAAGAGGUAGCAAAAAUACUGGAAACAGCUUUGUGGAGAUAAUAAAAUUGCUAAAGAGCAUUUACUGUUAAUAGCCUGUGUUUUUCAUGACACUAAUGGGUGGUUAAUUAUUUUUGUUUUAAUUGAAACAUAUGUCACAGCAAUAUUUUGUGCUUCCACUGAUCUAAAGCUAUUGUUCAAGUCCAUGUUGCAAUCAGUUCUCAAACAAUGCUCUCUUUGUCAGCAAUGCAGAAGUAGAAUGAUUUUAAUUUCUUCUCUUGGAAGAUUUAUAUCCUGGAAAACCCU